rnacentral:SRP_RNA from 1 species
CCUGUAAUCCCUGCUACUGGGAAGGCUAAGGGGUGUUAGACCUCUUGAGUCCAGGAGUUCUGAGUGACAGUGGGAUAAGCCAAUGAGGGGUCCUCACUAAGUCUGCCAUCAAUAUGGUGAGCUUCUGGGAGCAGAGGGCUGCCAGGCUACCCAAUGAAGGGGGAAAACUGCCCCAGGUCUGAAAUGGGGCAGAUCAAAGCUCUGGAGCUAAUCAGUAAUGGGAUCCAGCUAUGAAUAAUCCCUGCAUUUCCAGCCUGUCAAGAUAGGGAAACCCAAUUU